rnacentral:tRNA from 1 species
GCGCCUGUAGCUCAACUAGGACAGAGCAGGGGCGUCCUAAGCCCUUUGUUGGAGGUUCAACUCCUCUCAGGCGCG